UGAAAGAGUCUUGGAAUUGUGCGACAAAACCAAGAGGAUUACCAUCAGAAAAGAAGGAUGCCUCCUUUUUUAUGGCAUAAGAAAUUAUGGGUGCUCCUUCCUAGCGUGAAAGCUCCCUUCCAAGCUAUCCAAAAGCUGUGAGAUGAGAUGUCAUUCCUCCCUCACUUUUCUUUUAAAGAUUAAUGCCCAAGAAGAUCAUCC
rnacentral:lncRNA from 1 species